rnacentral:lncRNA from 1 species
CUCUAACAGGGCGGGCAGGUUGAACAGUGCCAUUUCAGUCCCCGAAAAGCUUUCAAAUUUCCUUUGCAACCCUGCACCAAAAGUGCCGGUCAGUGCAGCCAGCCGGCAGACCUGAGACUGGUGAUACAGCAGUUUCACAGCGCUCUGCCAGAUUCAUCCCGCUCCAAACAUAUUCAUAGCAGUCUCAUGGAAGUCCCAGGACUGCUUUGGCAGCAAUUGUGCAGGAUAAAUAAAGCUCCCAUUGUUGCAGAUGACUGCUUUCAAUUGCACGGGAAUCCAGGACAGCAGGGACUUCUGGCUGAUAAAGGAUGA